GAAUUCUACAUUAACCGGCAAAAAACGUUCAUAAAUCAUCUAAUUAAUCAUGUUGCAAGACAUCAAUUUCUGAAAGUAGCAUGUCAGUUGGAAAAGAAGACCAUGCUUGGGGCAUUUUCAUUGCUUAAAGUUAUUGAGUCUGAGCUGCAUGGAUACCUGUCAGCAACAAAAGGCAGAGUGGGUCGAUGCAUGGCACUGAUCCAAGCUGCAUCUGAUGUUCAAGAACAAGGAGC
rnacentral:misc_RNA from 1 species